rnacentral:tRNA from 1 species
UCUUUUAAAGUAAAAUUUACAUUUAAUUUCGACUUAAAAAUUGAUUAUCAAAAUCUAAAAGAA